rnacentral:rRNA from 1 species
AUUGAACGCUGGCGGCAUGCCUUACACAUGCAAGUCGAACGGCAGCACGGGAGCAAUCCUGGUGGCGAGUGGCGAACGGGUGAGUAAUAUAUCGGAACGUGCCCAAUCGUGGGGGAUAACGCAGCGAAAGCUGUGCUAAUACCGCAUACGAUCUACGGAUGAAAGCGGGGGACUCGCAAGGGCCUCGCGCGAAUGGAGCGGCCGAUAUCAGAUUAGCUAGUUGGUGGGGUAAGAGCCUACCAAGGCGACGAUCCGUAGCUGGUCUGAGAGGAUGACCAGCCACACUGGGACUGAGACACGGCCCAGACUCCUACGGGAGGCUG